AAGGGCUUGAACUGGGCCUAACAAAGGACCCGCCUGUAGGACUUGCACAGUCUUAUUUAGGAAGCAGUCUGCCCCACAGUCUGAACGUGUUUCCAGAGGAUGUCCAGAGGCACUGCGGCAAGCUGCCUGAGGGGUACCUGCCUAUUUUCAGCUGGCUGUCCCUGCAGUAAGGGACUGUUCCUCUUGAAAGGAUUAGAAACUGGGGCCUUGCAGCAGAACCUGCUUUCUGUGCCUCCUAGUCAUAGAACCUCCACGUACCAGUGGGCCAGCCUCUACUUCCCAGUCUCCCUUACAAUGAGAUGUGGUUCACCCCCAUUCCUGAAAACUCGGUCCUUGUCUCCAAAGCCAACCCAGUCAUGAAGAUGAGGUUUUGGGGAAAAGGAAAAAGAAUGUUUAUUGCUUUGUCAACAAGGGAGAAACACAGGGGACUCUUAUGCCAGAGUCUGUAAUUCUGCCCAUCACGGAAACCGGGGGCUUUUAAAGAGGUGAUUCCAAGGCUACAUUCCAAGUGUUUCCAGUCUGGAGAUGUAAUUCACUUGCUAAUUUAAGAGUCAUUUCUUAGAUCCUCUGGUGCCAUCCCCAAAGUCUAAAUUACUUCAUUUCACAGCGGCAAAGCAGCAAGGGCUAUAUUCAAAACGUAAAGUAGACCGCUAUUACACCACCCUCCUAUGACCAAUAGAGUAUCAGAGGAAAUGACACUUGGUUCUUAAGGAAACAAUCCUGAAAGAGAAGCAGCUGGCCUUGUUCCUUCUUUCCUCCUACCUAAUGGCUAGACUGAGGAUGUGAUGUCUGGAGCUCAAGCAUCCAUAUUGGACCAAGAGUAGAAAUCAUGUAUUGAGGAUAGUAGAGCAACAAUAUAGGUCCCUGAAGAUUGUAAAAACACCCUAACAGCUUUGGACUGCCUACUUUAAGACUUUAUCUGUGUACAAGAGAAGUAACCAUGUACCUUGUUGAAGCCAGUGUCUCUUGGGGUUUCUAUCCUUCUCUAAUGAACCUAAUCUUAAUAAUGGUGUAAUACAUGAAAAGAUCACUAAAGAUCAAAUUGCUGCAAAGAAAACACAAUUGAAGGCCGCAGCCUAGUAACAGCACCCUCGAUCCACACUGCUGGGGAUUACUGCCUAGAGCCUGCCCACCUGUCCCCCUCCUGUUCCUGACCUCAUUUAUCUGGAAGCAUUAAUAUGCAGAUAAUGGAAAGAUAUUUUUUCCUUUUCUACCUAUUGAAUUUUAAAUGUGAAUGAAUCACCUAUUCAACAGUAUCUGACUGAAAAUAAAACUAAAGCAAAAUUUUCUUCAAGUUACCGAUUGAGGCCAGGGUGGGAAUCCGGCUUGGAGGAAUGAAGGAAAGGUACAGGCAAAGUUCAUCUGUAACAUUUUCUAUAUUUUAAUUAGAAAGUAAGAUGGGCAAAGGGAUAGUUGUCACUCCUGGGUGAUGGGUGAUAGUUAUAUCUAUGUAUUUAUGUAUAAAUAAAUAUUUUAUGAUGAUGUUAAUAAUAUAAAUCUAGAAAAUAAAAACAUUCUUUGUACUUUUCUGCAUGAUCUUAUAUGACUCAAAAUAAAAG
rnacentral:lncRNA from 1 species